rnacentral:rRNA from 1 species
UACCAGCACCCCGAGUGGUCGGGACGAUUAUUGGGCCUAAAGCAUCCGUAGCCGGCCUUACAAGUCCUCCGUUAAAUCCAGCUGCUUAACAGAUGGGCUGCGGAGGAUACUAUAAGACUAGGAGGCAGGAGAGGCAAGCGGUACUCAGUGGGUAGGGGUAAAAUCCGUUGAUCCAUUGAAGACAACCAGUGGCGAAGGCGGCUUGCCAGAAUGCGCUCGACGGUGAGGGAUGAAAGCUGGGGGGAGCAAACCGG